rnacentral:lncRNA from 1 species
AAUAAGGGGUUGUUUAAUUAGUCUAGCUUUGAAAGUCAUUUUUGGAUAAUUUAUGUUGGUUGGGUUUGAAAAAUUAAUUUUAGUUAAAAAAUUGUAGAAUGUUUGGUAGAGUUUAGCAAAAAAGCGAAUUUCUGAAAUAAUUUUAAAAAACUGCUUGGCAAAAAUUUUUUUUUCUAUUUGCAAAUAAUAAAUUUAAAUUUAAAAUUUAAAAUCUAAAAUAAAAUUUAAAUUUGAUAUUUAAAUUUCAAAUCUAAUUUUAAAUUUUAAAAUUUUAAAA